rnacentral:rRNA from 1 species
CCUACGCGUGGCAGCAGUGGGGAAUAUUGCACAAUGGGGGCAACCCUGAUGCAGCGACGCCGCGUGAGUGAAGAAGUAUUUCGGUAUGUAAAGCUCUAUCAGCAGGGAAGAAAAUGACGGUACCUGAUUAAGAAGCCCCGGCUAACUACGUGGCAGCCGCCGCGGUAUUACGUAGGGGGCAAGCGUUAUCCGGAUUUACUGGGUGGAAAGGGAGCGUAGACGGCAGCACAAGUCUGGAGGGAAAUGCCGGGGGUUAACCCCGGAACUGCUUUGGACACUGGGCAGCUAGAGUGCAGGAGAGGUAAGUGGAAUUCCUGGUGUAGCGGUGAAAUGCGUAGAUAUUAGGAAGAACCCCAGUGGCGAAGGCAGCUUACUGGACUGUAACUGACGUUGAGGCUCGAAAGCGUGGGGAGCAAACAGGAUUAGAUACCCGAGUAGUC